AGCCUUAUGAAUUCGUGCAGAGAUUUUGUCAGACACCACACCAUCAGGACUGAUUCGACUCUCGAGAUAAGUAAAGCG
rnacentral:pre_miRNA from 1 species